CCUACGGGAGGCAGCAGUGAGGAAUAUUGGUCAAUGGACGAGAGUCUGAACCAGCCAAGUAGCGUGAAGGAUGACUGCCCUAUGGGUUGUAAACUUCUUUUAUAUGGGAGUAAAAUGUUCCACGUGUGGGAUUUUGUAUGUACCAUAUGAAUAAGGAUCGGCUAAAUCCGUGCCAGCAGCCGCGGUAAUACGGAGGAUCCGAGCGUUAUCCGGAUUUAUUGGGUGUAAAGGGAGCGUAGGUGGAUUGUUAAGUUAGUUGUGAAAGUUUGCGGCUCAACCGUAAAAUUGCAGUUGAAACUGGCAGUCUUGAGUACAGGAGAGGUGGGCGGAAUUCGUGGUGUAGCGGUGAAAUGCUUAGAUAUCACGAAGAACUCCGAUUGCGAAGGCAGUUCACUGGACUGCAACUGACACUGAGGCUCGAAAGUGUGGGUAUCAAACAGGAUUAGAUACCCCAGUAGUC
rnacentral:rRNA from 1 species